rnacentral:lncRNA from 1 species
AUGGCAUCUAUGAAUGCUUUAUGUCAUUACAUGGCCGAAAAAAGUAGGCCUCGUUUUAAAUACUAUGUAGUAAUUCAUGGAAAAACUAAUGGCAUUUUUCAAACUUGGUUAGAAGUAUUAGAUUCUAUACAGGGUUUUAAAGCCCCUCUUUUUAAAGGUUUUAAUGAUUUUACAGAAGCUACUAAUCAUGCUAGGGGAUAUUUAGGC